UGGGGAAUAUUGCGCAAUGGGCGAAAGCCUGACGCAGCGACGCCGCGUGAGGGAUGACGGCCUUCGGGUUGUAAACCUCUUUCGGUACCGACGAAGCGAGAGUGACGGUAGGUACAGAAGAAGCUCCGGCUAACUACGUGCCAGCAGCCGCGGUAAGACGUAGGGGGCGAGCGUUGUCCGGAUUUAUUGGGCGUAAAGGGCUCGUAGGCGGCCUGUCGCGUCUGUCGUGAAAGCUCAAGGCUUAACUUUGAGUUUGCGGUGGAUACGGGCAGGCUUGAGGCAAGUAGGGGAGAACGGAAUUCCACGUGUAGCGGUGAAAUGCGCAGAUAUGUGGAGGAACACCGGUGGCGAAGGCGGUUCUCUGGGCUUGUUCUGACGCUGAGGAGCGAAAGCGUGGGGAGCGAACAGG
rnacentral:rRNA from 2 species